rnacentral:rRNA from 1 species
UACGGAGGGGGCGAGCGUUUAUUCGGAAUUAUUGGGCGUAAAGGGCGCGUAGGCGGCUGAACAAGUCAAAGGUGAAAUCCCUCGGCUCAACUGAGGAACUGCCUUUGAAAACUGUUCGGCUUGAGGCCGGGAGGGGGGUAGCGGAAUUCCCAGUGUAGCGGUGAAAUGCGUAGAUAUUGGGAGGAACACCAGUGGCGAAGGCGGCUACCUGGACCGGUUCUGACGCUGAGGCGCGAAAAGCGUGGGUAGCAAACAGG